UACGGAGGGUGCGAGCGUUGUCCGGAUUUAUUGGGCUUAAAGGGUGCGUAGGCGGCCCGUUAAGUCCGUGGUGACAGCCAACAGCUCAACUGUUGAACUGCCAUGGAUACUGACGGGCUUGAGUACAGACGAGGUAGGCGGAAUGGAUGGUGUAGCGGUGAAAUGCAUAGAUACCAUCCAGAACACCGAUUGCGUAGGCAGCUUACUAGGCUGUAACUGACGCUGAGGCACGAAAGCGUGGGGAGCGAACAGG
rnacentral:rRNA from 1 species